rnacentral:rRNA from 1 species
UUGAACGCUGGCGGCAGGCCUAACACAUGCCGGUCGAACGGUAACAGGAAGCAGCUUGCUGCUUCGCUGACGAGUGGCGGACGGGUGAGUAAUGUCUGGGAAGCUGCCUGAUGGAGGGGGAUAACUACUGGAAACGGUAGCUAAUACCGCAUAAUGUCGCAAGACCAAAGAGGGGGACCUUCGGGCCUCUUGCCAUCGGAUGUGCCCAGAUGGGAUUAGCUUGUUGGUGGGGUAACGGCUCACCAAGGCGACGAUCCCUAGCUGGUCUGAGAGGAUGACCAGCCACACUGGGACUGAGACACGGUCCAGACUCCUACGGGAGGCAGCAGUGGGGAAUAUUGCACAGUGGGCGCAAGCCUGAUGCAGCCAUGCCGCGUGUAUGAAGAAGGCCUUCGGGUUGUAAAGUACUUUCAGCGGGGAGGAAGGGAGUAAAGUUAAUACCUUUGCUCAUUGACGUUACCCGCAGAAGAAGCACCGGCUAACUCCGU